UACGUAGGGCGCAAGCGUUGUCCGGAAUUAUUGGGCGUAAAGAGCUCGUAGGCGGCUUGUCACGUCGUAUGUGAAAACCCGCGGCUCAACCGCGGGCCUGCAGUCGAUACGGGCAGGCUAGAGUUCGGUAGGGGAGACUGGAAUUCCUGGUGUAGCGGUGAAAUGCGCAGAUAUCAGGAGGAACACCGAUGGCGAAGGCAGGUCUCUGGGCCGAUACUGACGCUGAGGAGCGAAAGCGUGGGGAGCGAACAGG
rnacentral:rRNA from 1 species